GUGAAGUUGUUGAUGCCCUGCUUCCAGGAAAAGCUUCUAAACUUAUGAUUAUAUGAACCGUACCCCAAACCGACACAGGUGGUCAGGUAGAGAAUACUAAGGCGCUUGAGAGAACUCGGGUGAAGGAACUCGGCAAAAUUGUACCGUAACUUCGGGAGAAGGUACGCCUCUGUUUGUGAACACUUCGCGUGGUAAGCAAAUGGAGGCCGCAGUGACCAGGUGGCUGGGACUGUUUAUUAAAAACACAGCACUCUGCAAACUCGUAAGAGGACGUAUAGGGUGUGACACCUGCCCGGUGCCGGAAGGUUAAUUGAUGGGGUUAGUUUUCGGACGAAGCUCUUGAUCGAAGCCCCGGUAAACGGCGGCCGUAACUAUAACGGUCCUAAGGUAGCGAAAUUCCUUGUCGGGUAAGUUCCGACCUGCACGAAUGGUGUAACCAUGGCCACGCUGUCUCCACCCGAGACUCAGUGAAAUUGAAAUCGCAGUGAAGAUGCUGUGUACCCGCACCUAGACGGAAAGACCCCGUGAACCUUUACUACAGCUUGGCACUGAACAUUGAACCUACAUGUGUAGGAUAGGUGGGAGGCUUUGAAGCACAGUCGCUAGAUUGUGUGGAGCCGUCCUUGAAAUACCACCCUUGUAUGUUUGAUGUUCUAACAUUGGCCCCUUAUCGGGGUUGUGGACAGUGUCUGGUGGGUAGUUUGACUGGGGCGGUCUCCUCCCAAAUAGUAACGGAGGAGCACGAAGGUUAGCUAAUCACGGUCGGACAUCGUGAGGUUAGUGCAAUGGCAUAAGCUAGCUUAACUGCGAGACAGACACGUCGAGCAGGUACGAAAGUAGGUCAUAGUGAUCCGGUGGUUCUGUAUGGAAGGGCCAUCGCUCAACGGAUAAAAGGUACUCCGGGGAUAACAGGCUGAUACCGCCCAAGAGUUCAUAUCGACGGCGGUGUUUGGCACCUCGAUGUCGGCUCAUCACAUCCUGGGGCUGAAGUCGGUCCCAAGGGUAUGGCUGUUCGCCAUUUAAAGUGGUACGCGAGCUGGGUUUAGAACGUCGUGAGACAGUUCGGUCCCUAUCUGGUGUGGGCGUUGGAUGAUUGAUGGGAGCUGCUCCUAGUACGAGAGGACCGGAGUGGACGAACCGCUGGUGUUCGGGUUGUCAUGCCAAUGGCAUUGCCCGGUAGCUAUGUUCGGAACGGAUAACCGCUGAAAGCAUCUAAGCGGGAAGCCGGCCCAAAGAUGAGUCAUCCCUGACCUUUAAGGUCUGGAAGGGUUGUUAUAGACGAUGACGUUGAUAGGCAGGGUGUGGAAGCGUUGUAAGGCGUUAAGCUAACCUGUACUAAUUGCCCGAGAGGCUUAACCAUACAACGCCCAAGAAGCUUU
rnacentral:rRNA from 1 species